GACGAACGCUGGCGGCGUGCUUAACACAUGCAAGUCGAACGGUGAACCUUCCUUCGGGGAGGGGAUCAGUGGCGAACGGGUGAGUAACACGUGAGCAACCUGCCCCUAGCUCUGGGAUAACCCCGGGAAACCCGGAGCUAAUACCGGAUACGAGACCAAGCGGCAUCACAUGGUCUGGAAAGUUUUCGGUCUAGGAGUGGCGUCGCGGCCUAUCAGCUUGUUGGUGGGGUAACGG
rnacentral:rRNA from 1 species